AACAAAACUGACCCCCACUUUCUGACCAUUUCCCACAUGAACAGAAAAGAAACCCACAGUCAAAACUAACACCGUUUCCUGUUCAAGAUCUCAUUAUUGAAUCAAUUCAUGCAGGAAGCAGAAUUUUCACUUCAUACCCAGUGCCAUUGCUAAUUCCUAAAUUGGAUGCAUUGCUCUUCUUCCGACAUCUAAUAUACUGAAGAAAUUCACAGUAAUUUUACUCCAUUGGUUUGUGAUACAUGGGUAGCCUUGAGACAAAGAUUCAGGUCUGGACAUCUCGCUACAGAAAUCCAUGGCCAAAACUAAGCCAACUUCCAGUUUUUAUUUUACUGUUCAAAAUUUCUGACAGAAUCAAUUCAUACACAAGCAGAAUCCUUAGUUAACUCCCAGGACAAUUGCUAAUUACAAAAUUGGAGGCAUGGUGUUUCUUACGGCAUUCGAUAUAUUGCAGGUAACUGCAAUAUGGAUAUUGAGAUACAUGAUUGGAAGAUGGGCGUAGCUGUUGAAUAAUUAGAGUUCAACAAGAAGGAAAGUUUCAUAUUGAGACCAUGCAUAUGUACAGUUCAGUUUGGUCAUUGUUCAGUUCAAUUCAUUGUGUCUAUCAGCAAUGCUCUUGAUCUCCGUUCUACGUCUCUCCUUCUGCCCCAUGAAUUUAGUUUAAUUCAUGGUGAGACAUGUUUUAUUCUUUCUACGUUUAUCAGCUGUAGUGUAAGUACUUGACAGAGCAUUGCCCACGAAAGACAUUAUCCCUAUCUAGAUUAUACAUGUUAAGUGGGGCUGCUGCAACACAAGAAAAAGUUAUGCUUUAAUAAAUGGUGGUAUUAUUGGUAUAGAUGAGGAGAUUGCAAAUGGUGAAGUUGAUGAUAUCCAAAGGGCCAAUGACGCCAGUGGCGCUAAGAAAUGUGCUCCAAGCGUAUGUGGAAGGAAAUGGUGACAAUACAAUUUUUGUAAAGAACUAUUUUAAGGAGGAUCAGGGACGGACCCAAGAAGUUCUAAUUUUUUUCUCAGCCUGGGCUAAUAGCCUUGGCCCAAUAUAGCAUUUCAAUUUUUAAGUAGUUGGGCUGUGACGACUACCUGGGCUAAAGCCCGGGUUAGCCCAGCUGUGGGUCCGUCAGUGAGGAGGAUGAAGACCUAUCCGACAGAAAGAGAAUUGAAUUUUGUUGAGGAUCAGAAAGGGACACAAUCGAAGAAUAUCUUACUGGAAUAUAUUGGAAAUGUGUUAAAAUUGAGUUUGGAUAACAUGUGCACCCUGACAGAGAAGUAUGAGUUUGCAUUAAUAUGUUACUGUUGAACAAUUGAAGAAAACUCCGGCACAGUUUAAAGGUUUAUAUGCAUUUUCUGUUAUUCCAUAUACACUACUAGGAUAUGACCUGUGCCGUAACCGCACGUGCUGUCGUUCACUGUUGUUGUUGGUCAAUCCUUAAUGUGGCCUCUUUUCUUAAUUAACAUGCUGUAUAAGGAUGUAAGCUACUAAUGAGUGACAAAUGACCAUCAAUGUGGACACUUGGAUAUGUACAAUGUAACGAUAACGAUAGU